AGGGUUUGAUUAUGGCUCAGGACGAACGCUGGCGGCGUGCCUAACACAUGCAAGUCGAACGGAAGUUAGAGCUUCGGUUUUAACUUUAGUGGCGAACGGGUGAGUAACGCGUGAGGAACCUGCCUUUCAGUGGGGGACAACAGUUGGAAACGACUGCUAAUACCGCAUGAUACUUUUGGGAGACAUCUCCUGGAAGUCAAAGCUUUAUGUGCUGAAAGAUGGCCUCGCGUCUGAUUAGCUAGUUGGUGAGGUAACGGCUCACCAAGGCGACGAUCAGUAGCCGGUCUGAGAGGAUGAACGGCCACAUUGGGACUGAGAUACGGCCCAG
rnacentral:rRNA from 1 species